GACGAACGCUGGCGGCGUGCUUAACACAUGCAAGUCGAACGCUCUAGCAAUAGGGAGUGGCGCACGGGUGAGUAACGCGUAGGAAUCUACCCAUUCGCCUGGGAUAACAGCGGGAAACUGCUGCUAAUACCGGAUACGCUCCCUCUGGGGGAAAGGUUUACUACUAAUGGAUGAGCCUGCGUUAGAUUAGCUAGUUGGUGAGGUAAUGGCUCACCAAGGCUCCGAUCUAUAGCCGGUCUGAGAGGACGAUCGGCCACAUUGGGACUGAGACACGGCCCAGACGCCUAAGGGAGGCAGGAGUGGCGGAUGUUGCAGAAUGGGCGAAAGCCUGAUGCAGCAACGCCGCGUGCGGGAUGAUGGCCUUCGGGGUGUAAAACGGUUUCAGCAGGAAAGAAACUGACGGUACCUGCAGAAGAAGCCCCGGCUAACUACGUGCCAGCCGCCGCAGUAAAAC
rnacentral:rRNA from 1 species